GUCUGCUGUUUACAGGGGAAGCCCAUCGCUGAGACACACGCAAGCCGGGGCUGCGGCCUAGCAACCAGCAUAGCAACGGCGUGAGAAAAAGUUCCUCAAGAAGCCCCUUCGCAAUAAAAGGGGCAUUCUGGGACUUGUAGUACGAGCACAGCUGAAGAGUAAUAUGUUGGCUAGACCCUAUAUAUAAAAGAGGCUUUUAGGGCUCAUACGAGGAGCUUUAAUAUAAGAAAGUAUGAUAUUUGUCACAUGCGGAAUAAGAGGCCUUUUUAUCAAAUGUGCAGGACAUGAUAACUGGUGACAUGCUCCAACCAGGAGGAACAUGCUGAUUUGGUGCCACUCUGCACCUGACAGCGAAAGAUGAACACAUGCCAAUCUAAUGCUAGGUGUGGAACUAUAAUUACAGAUGAAUUUAUGUUAGUUUGAAUAUUCCCAGAUGCAUAAAUGAUUUUUGUUUGAAUGCGACAGUGAUCACUGUCACUGUAUAGGAUCCCCUGAAUCUGGUUUAUUCCACAACACGGAUUCAGUUCCCCCUGCUCCUAUCUAUUU